rnacentral:snoRNA from 1 species
UGGAUAGUGAAGAUCUAUUGAUGCAUAAUCCAACACUUGAUCCGAGGCCGGCUUCUGCCGUGCGAAUGAUGCUAUCUCUGCAUCUGAAUCCAU